AACGCACGAGACCUGCGGACCUGCGGAGGGAUCAUUAAUGAGAAGCUGCCCCUCGUGGGUAGACCUCCCACCCUCUGUGAACUUACCUUUGUUGCUUUGGCAGGCCCGUCCCCUGGACCGCCGGCUUCGGCUGGCCCGUGCCUGCCAGAGGAUUCCAAACCCUGUCUGUCAGUGUUGUCUGAGUCUAUAUGAAAUCGUUAAAACUUUUAACAAUGGAUCUCUAGAUCGGAAGAGCACACG
rnacentral:misc_RNA from 1 species